rnacentral:rRNA from 1 species
CGAACGCUGGCGGCAGGCUUAACACAUGCAAGUCGAACGGGCCCUUCGGGGUCAGUGGCAGACGGGUGAGUAACGCGUGGGAACGUGCCCUUCAGUUCGGAAUAACCCAGGGAAACUUGGGCUAAUACCGGAUACGUGCGAGAGCAGAAAGAUUUAUCGCUGAAGGAUCGGCCCGCGUCUGAUUAGCUAGUUGGUAGGGUAAUGGCCUACCAAGGCGACGAUCAGUAGCUGGUCUGAGAGGAUGAUCAGCCACAUUGGGACUGAGACACGGCCCAAACUCCUACGGGAGGCAGCAGUGGGGAAUAUUGGACAAUGGGCGCAAGCCUGAUCCAGCCAUGCCGCGUGAGUGAUGAAGGCCUUAGGGUUGUAAAGCUCUUUCGUCCGGGACGAUAAUGACGGUACCGGAAGAAGAAGCCCCGGCUAACUUCGUGCCAGCAGCCGCGGUAAUACGAAGGGGGCUAGCGUUGUUCGGAAUCACUGGGCGUAAAGGGCGCGUAGGCGGCUUUGUAAGUCGGGGGUGAAAGCCUGUGGCUCAACCACAGAAUUGCCUUCGAUACUGCAUGGCUUGAGACCGGAAGAGGUAAGUGGAACUGCGAGUGUAGAGGUGAAAUUCGUAGAUAUUCGCAAGAACACCAGUGGCGAAGGCGGCUUACUGGUCCGGUUCUGACGCUGAGGCGCGAAAGCGUGGGGAGCAA